rnacentral:rRNA from 1 species
CGAGUGAAGCGGCAAAAGCUCAAAUUUGAAACCCUCGGGAUUGUAAUUUGAAGAUUUGGCAUUGGAGAAAGCUAACCCAAGUUGCUUGGAAUAGUACGUCAUAGAGGGUGACAACCCCGUCUGGCUAACCGUUCUCCAUGUAUUGCCUUAUCAAAGAGUCGAGUUGUUUGGGAAUGCAGCUCAAAGUGGGUGGUAAACUCCAUCUAAAGCUAAAUACUGGUGAGAGACCGAUAGCGAACAAGUACUGUGAAGGAAAGGUGAAAAGAACUUUGAAAAGAGAGUGAAAUAGUGUGAAAUUGUUGAUAGGGAAGGAAAUGAGUGGAGAGUGGCCGAGGUUUCAGCCGCCCCUCGUGGGCGGUGUACUGCCGACGCCGAGUCAUCGAUAGCGAGACGAGGGUUACAAAUGGGAGCGCCUUUCGGGCGUUCUCCCCUAACCCUCCACACUGCCACCGACAACAUAAUCCACCCAUUUCACCCGCCUGGAAAC